GAUGAACGCUGGCGGCGUGCCUAAUACAUGCAAGUCGAGCGAACGGACGAGAAGCUUGCUUCUCUGAUGUUAGCGGCGGACGGGUGAGUAACACGUGGAUAACCUACCUAUAAGACUGGGAUAGCUUCGGGAAACCGUAGCUAAUACCGGAUAAUAUUUUGAACCGCAUGGUUCAAAAGUGAAAGACGGUCUUGCUGUCACUUAUAGAUGGAUCCGCGCUGCAUUAGCUAGUUGGUAAGGUAACGGCUUACCAAGGCAACGAUGCAUAGCCGACCUGAGAGGGUGAUCGGCCACACUGGAACUGAGACACGGUCCAGACUCCUACGGGAGGCAGCAGUAGGGAAUCUUCCGCAAUGGGCGAAAGCCUGACGGAGCAACGCCGCGUGAGUGAUGAAGGUCUUCGGAUCGUAAAACUCUGUUAUUAGGGAAGAACAUAUGUGUAAGUAACUGUGCACAUCUUGACGGUUCCUAAUCAGAAAGCCACGGCUAACUACGUG
rnacentral:rRNA from 1 species